AAAACUACGUGCCAGCAGCCGCGGUAAUACGUAGGGGGCAAGCGUUGUCCGGAAUGACUGGGCGUAAAGGGUGUGUAGGCGGCACUUUGCGUCGAAUGUGAAAGCCCCGGGCUCAACCCGGGAACUGCAUUCGAUACGGAGGUGCUAGAGUGGGGAAGAGGCUAGUGGAAUUCCUAGUGUAGCGGUAGAAUGCGUAGAUAUUAGGAGGAACAUCAGAGGCGAAGGCGGCUAGCUGGGCCCUAACUGACGCUGAGACACGAAAGCGUGGGGAGCAAACAGGAUUAGAUACCCUGGUAGUCCACGCCCUAAACGAUGAAUACUAGAUGUUGGCGGUAUCGACUCCGCCAGUAUCGCAGCUAACGCGUUAAGUAUUCCGCCUGUGUAGUACGGCCGCAAGGUUGAAACACAAAGAAAUUGACGGGGACCCGCACAAGCAGCGGAGCAUGUGGUUUAAUUCGAAGCUACGCGAAAAACCUUACCAAGACUUGACAUCCCACGCAUAGGCCCGAAAUGGCCGAAAGGACCUCAAAAAUCCCGUGGUGACAGAUGGUGCAUGGUUGUCGUCAGCUCGUGUCGUGAGAUGUUCGGUUAAGUCCGAUAACGAGCGCAACCCUUGUUUUCAGUUGCCAGCAUUAAGUUGGGCACUCUGGAGAGACUGCCGUAGAUAAUACGGAGGAAGGUGGGGAUGACGUCAAAUCAUCAUGCCUCUUACGUCUUGGGCUACACACGUGCUACAAUGGCCGCUACAAACAGUCCCGAACCGGUAACGGGGAGGCAAUCUGAAAAAAGCGGUCUCAAUUCGGACUGAGGGCUGCAACCCGCCCUCAUGAAGUCGGAGUUGCUAGUAAUCCCAAAUCAGCAUGUUGGGGUGAAUGCGUUCCCGGGUCUUGUACACACCGCCCGCCAAGCUAUGGGAGCCGGGUGAAUCCAAAGUCGUCACGCUAACCGCAAGGGGGCAGACGCCUAAGGUUAAACCGGUAACUGGAGUU
rnacentral:rRNA from 1 species